AAACACAUGUCUGCUUCUUUUUUGUAGCCAUGUUUCUGUCUUCACGUUGUGCUGUGCUCACCUUUGUUUGUUGUUUAUGUUGUGUGUGUCUCAUCUGUGUUUCCCUGAUAGGAGGAGCCAGUAUACGAGGGAGAGUACGGAGGAAUGGAGCAAGGCGGGGAAGGAGGAGAGGGCUACUAGCCGUCUUCAAGACCCUCCCAUCUUCUCCUGCACCCCUGCCGUCCUUGCCUACCUGUACCAGAUUCCAGAUGUUCAACAUAUUUUUUUGAGACUUUAUGGAACCAAAAUCAACUAAAGACUUCUGGAUGAUGCACUCCGCCCCUAACCCCACCCCACACCCCACGCCCCCGGCCCCCUAACCUCAGCCCCCAGCCCCCUUCUCUAAUUUUUUGCAGCCUGUAGCUUCUCUUACUACUGCCCAUCUUACCCCCCUGCCUCACCUG
ensembl:lncRNA